rnacentral:rRNA from 1 species
UACGUAGGGUGCAAGCGUUGUCCGGAAUUACUGGGCGUAAAGAGUUCGUAGGCGGUUUGUCACGUCGUUUUGUGAAAACUCACAGCUCAACUGUGAGCCUGCAGGCGAUACGGGCAGACUUGAGUACUGCAGGGGAGACUGGAAUUCCUGGUGUAGCGGUGAAAUGCGCAGAUAUCAGGAGGAACACCGAUGGCGAAGGCAGGUCUCUGGGCUGUAACUGACGUGAGGAGCGAAAGCAUGGGGGAGCGAACAGG